CGGCAAGAGUCCGAAAUUUUAACAACACCUGUCACCCCAGUGAUCGCCAGGGCUGAUUCGCUGAUGUGGCCGGCUAAGCGGGUGUCCCCUUCUUCCCUCACCGCCCCAUGUGCGUCCCUCUCGAAGCUGCACACUCGGUCAAAGAGGACGGCCUUCCCCGAGUAGAGACGGACCGGUCUUUGGUCGAGGGUAUAUGAGUAGCUGAGCUCCCCUGCUAAAACCUCCAAACAAACUUUCAAGGCGAAAAUAUAGAGAAUUGAAGCACAUGAACUCACAGAAAAGAAGUAGCCAGCCUGUCUCCACGACUUU
rnacentral:snRNA from 1 species